AGAGUUAUAGUCAAACAUGACAUUUGGGUUGCAUUCAAAAGGUGCUUUAUUUUGAGCUAACUUU
rnacentral:tRNA from 1 species